AAUGGCAGUACAAGGUCCCCCAUGGACACGAAAGCAGUGAGGAGGCUUCAUUGGAGACGGUGCGCACUGAAAACUGUGAAACCGCCCAAAGAGAGAGCUUGCCAGAUGAAACUUCUCCAGAUGACUCCUCUCCAGAUGUACCAUUGGUAGGCAUCGAGCCCUUUGAGCUGCCUUCGUGUUCAGACGACGAUGGGAACACCUUCAUUUUCCCCAAGCUUGGAGCUCUCCAUGAUACGAUCAUCUCUGGCAAACCUCUGACAUCUUCAUCAUUCCGAAAGAUUGUGGAGCUCCUCUUUCGUGCAAUGGUGAACAUAACAGUGUAAGUAAGGUGGUCUCAAAAUUCGGACUUAUUCCUAGCUUCAUCAUUUCCAGUUCCUUUCAUGGGUGACUUCUUUGUGGGCACCGGUCAACCUUUGUCUUGCUGUAUCUUUCUGUAUCCAGCUAAACCUAUGUCUUAAAUCACAGUAUCGAAGCAGGUGAAACUGAUUUUUGCAAUAUAUUUGAAGUGGGUUUAAUCCCUCUAACCCUCCUUGUAUACAAAAAAAAAAAAGUAAUUCGGAAAAAAAGCUAGGUUGCUUCUUUCUGGUCCUUAUCUUGCCAAAUUUUGUGCAGUGGUAAACAUAGUAGAUUGAUGGCUUAUUUGCGUUGUUUCACAAGUGCAUCUUUGUGCUGAAUUUUAGGCUUCUUGGUCGAGACCGCUGCGCCAAAAAUGAAAUUAGUCAGUUCAGGCUAGAGAAAUGUUUGGUUAGUUAGGUCACUUCUUGUCAUUUGCUAGAAGCAAUCCAUGCCCUCGCUGUAUUUACAGGUGUAUGUGUUGCUGGUGUGUAAAAUUAAUGGAAGCUUUAAGUAACUUGCUCGUUUUCCUUCAAUAGGACAACAUGUCUCUUUGUCGAAAUUCAUAUUACAAGAAUUUGCUAAGCGGAAAAUGUGUAGAUAUUCCUUUUUUUU